GCAUUUUUACUAUAAUAAGUUCAAUUAUUUUUUUCUGAAGUUUUUGGGUUAUGUAAAUAGCCCCCCUCCGGGGCCCCCGAAUGUUUGGUCUUUUUGAUGGACCACUUGUGCACUAUUUUCCCUUCUCUCACCACUAGGUUUUAUUACAGAUGUUAUAAUGUAAUUUAUGACUGGGAUGAUGAUUAUGGAGUCACAAUGUGUUUGUUUAUUAUCAGCGACAGCGCCCUCUUCAAUGACUUCCGGGUUUUGAAUGACAGAGAAUGUUUACAUGAAACACGAUGGCCACGCCCUCUUGUUUAUGAUGUCUGCAGAACAUUUCUUUGAAAACAGCCCUGAAGAUGCAAUAUAAGUCAGUUUUUUGUUUGUAAGAGCUUUAAAAAAUUUAGGCAAAUAAAGAACAUUAACAUGAAACUGAAAACUCUUAAAACCUAGUAUUUUUAAUGCAAUUUUUGCAAGAAUGAGUGGGACACAAGCUUGCAAUUUUAGGUGAAAACAAAGCCGUCACUCAGUGAUAGUCAUUAUUUAUAAACUUAGAUUUUUAUCAUUUUUUUAAAUUGGUUUGCAUGCAAAAAGUGUAUCAUGUAUAACAAUGACCCAUUCUUGAAUAAUAUUAUUAAAACUGUUGUAUAA